rnacentral:rRNA from 1 species
GACGAACGCUGGCGGCGUGCCUAAUACAUGCAAGUCGAACGAACCGCGACUGAGUGCUUGCACUUGGUCAAGGUGAGUGGCGAACGGGUGAGUAACACGUGGGUAACCUACCUCAUAGUGGGGGAUAACAGUCGGAAACGACUGCUAAUACCGCAUAGGACAUAGGAUCACAUGAUCCAGUGAGGAAAGGUGGCGCAAGCUAUCGCUAAGAGAUGGACCCGCGGUGCAUUAGCUAGUUGGUAGGGUAAAGGCCUACCAAGGCGAUGAUGCAUAGCCGACCUGAGAGGGUGAUCGGCCACAUUGGGACUGAGACACGGCCCAAACUCCUACGGGAGGCAGCAGUAGGGAAUCUUCCGCAAUGGACGCAAGUCUGACGGAGCAACGCCGCGUGAGUGAAGAAGGUCUUCGGAUCGUAAGGCUCUGUUGUUAGAGAAGAACAGCGCAUAGAGUAACUGCUAUGCGUGUGACGGUAUCUAACCAGAAAGCCACGGCUAACUACGUG